CUUUCCCCGAGACCCUCUCAGAGCACUUUUUUCUCUCUCACACUCUCUCUCACUCUCUCUCCCUCUCACCUGUAUCCUUACUCUCUACAAACCCUCAUCUCCCUCACCAUCAAACCAGACAACAACAACAAAAUACCAUCACCCUUGUGUUCUAAAAAUCGAAAGAAGAACACCCUAAACCCUUUUCUCUCUUUCGGUUGGUACUGUUCAUCGUCUUCCCCGACGAGUUUCGUGAUUUUCCAACUUUGAAAAUAGCUCGGAGUAGCUUUUCCAAAUUUUCAGGCCGAGCACCGCCCCUUUCGAAGCAUUUUCCGGUCAAAUCACGGCGAGUUAGCCGUCGUGCAAGAUUUUUUUGGCCUCUGUAUUCCACGUGUUGAUGAUCGGGACGUUUUCUGUUCGGAGGCCUUAUUGCUUUUUCUUUCGUUUUCAUCGCUCUCUCCUCACUUUUUCCUUUUGUUUUUCCGCUUCUCUCUUUCGCUCUCUGCCUUUCGUUUUCACUUUGUUGUCUUUGUCUUCUCAGCUUUGCUCCUGCGCUUCGCACGCCGACUUCUUCACGUCUGAAGUCUUGCCGUUUUGUGGUUAGUUCUGGGUUUUUUUGUGCACAAGUCUUUGCUGCAUUGUUUUGAAUGUUAUGUGCUUGGGAGUGAGAUCGGGUUUUUUGAGUUUGUGACUUUUCUUUGAAGCCUGCGAAGACCUCUGUGUUUAAGCUGAAGUAGCUAAAGUUAAGAAAGAACAAUUGUGGCUUAAAGUCUUCAUAUUUGAAAGUUGAAUCUCAGCCAUUGAAAGGCUUUGUGAACGUGUCCUCACGUGUGCAGCAGACCUUCAUAGCAAUUUGGGGAGGUUAUGAUAUGGAGGAGAAAGUUGCUAGAGCAUAUGGUCUUGCUGCUCUUAAGUACCGGGGUUCUUCAACUCAUAUAAACUUUACGUUGGAUAUUUACACUGCACAACUUGAAGAGAUGAAUAACAAUAAGCUGGCGGAAUAUAUUGCGCAUCUGUGAAGACAUCACAGGCAUGGGAGAUGGCAAGCUAGGAUUGGCCGAGGCACCCAAGAGGAAGCUGCAGAAGCUUAUGACAUAGCUGCAAUCAAGUGCCCUAGGACGACUCCAACCAGUAACCCAACUAUGGACUAUAUCAAACAGCUGAUUCUGAGCACGUUCUGAAGAGAUCAAGACCUUUCGAGAUAACAGAUGAGGGCAAUAAUCUGCCAGUAAAUAUGUUGCCUGUUGCGUAUCCUAAUCAGAGCCAUGGUCAGAGUUCCUACUCUUCUAAUGACUUGCCCAAGUCUGUUGUUUAUGACUUUACGUCCAGGUUCAACUGUCA